CUGCAUUGUAUUGGGCUUUAGAGCCUUUGCUAUAGCAUUGCCUGCAGGAGCUUUGCACUGUUGGUAAGCUUUAGAUUCCCACCACACCUCAUCUCUAUCCAGAGUCUGUUAACUAAUUACAUUCCUGUCCUGUUUGUUUGCAGCCUUAUCAUCCCAUAGUUGUUUGAAGCCAGUGAUAGACAAAGCUUGUGACAUCCGUCUCCAUGCCAACUGUUCAUGAGGUCAUAAGCAUGACG